GCACGUCCCGGAUCUUUUCCAAUCCGGCAGCUAACUUGCAAGCGGUCGCGGCUGGUGAUUAUGGGCAUAACAUUGGCAAUGCUCUUUUCUCAAGCUCCCGUGCGGAUAGUUUUUACCGCAUAGCGAUUUUUAUCUCCGAGCGCACAAGGGCGCAAUUAUGGCAUUAUUUUAUCGCCUCUCUUUUCCACACGACUCUCGCACUCCCAAAAAUUUGCGUGCUUUGCGUGUGCGGACUAAAAACACGUUUUUAGACCGUUCCAACUUGCGGCAUUGGUUUGCCGUCCCGUGCGGUGUGGUUAUUUGACACCCUCUUUAAUCGUUCCAAAACGAACGGGCGAAUUUUCGUUUGUCCGAGCCACGAAAAUAGGUUUCCCACAAAAAAGGCUCUUUGUUU
rnacentral:ncRNA from 1 species